GCCACAUCAUGUUGAAACGUUAGUUCCCUGUGUGAUCACCAAAGUUAAGCAACAUUGAGCCUGGUUAGUACCUAGAUGGGUGACCACUUGGGAAUAUCAGGUGCUGUAAG